rnacentral:rRNA from 1 species
GACGAACGCUGGCGGCGUGCCUAAUACAUGCAAGUAGAACGAAGUGGCGAACGGGUGAGUAAUACGUGAGUAACAUGCCCUCCUUUUUGGGAUAAGCCUUGGAAACGGGGUCUAAUACCGGAUAAAGGGGGAUGGGCUCGCGGCCUAUCAGCUUGUGGGUGGGGUGAUGGCCUACCAAGGCGGUGCCGGGUAGCCGGCCUGAGAGGGUGACCGGCCCCAUUGGGACUGAGAUACGGCCCAGACUCCUACGGGAGGCAGCAGUGGGUGAUAUUGCACAAUGGGCGAAAACCUGAUGCAGCGACGCCGCGUGGUGGAUGGAAGCUUUCGGGUUGUAAACCUCUGUUGUUAGAGGAGCGGUAACUAACCAGAAAGGGACGGCUAACUACGUGCCAGCAGCCGCGGUAAUAC